CAGACUCCACAGGGACCACAGUUUGAGGGCCAUGAAGACCAUCUAUACCAGAUGGUCUGUGAAACCCAGAUCCAGGAGAAAUUAUGGGAACUACUAGUCCCCAUAAGUACCGGAGGGGCCUGUUAUGAGUGGUGCACUUGGUGCCCUGGACUGGCACUUGGAGAGGGAGAAGACCCUACAAUGAGUGGCCCAUAGAUUUUUCUGGCCCUGCAUUCACAGAAUCUCAAUGAGCUGUCCCAAACUGAGUACCAAACUGGUCGCCCUUCCCGUAGUUGGGGUGCCAUUUGAGAGAACUGGUCUGGACCUGGUAGGGCCCCUGGAAAAAAGCAGAUCUGGCUGCCAAUACAUACUAGUGGUGGUGGAUUACAUGACCCAAUACCCUGAGGCAGUCCCACUACAGAACACCACACCACUGAUAUAGCAGCUGAGCUCCUGAAAAUCUUCUUCCCGAUAGAUGGCCUUGUGGAAAGAUUCAACGGGACGCUGAAGUCCAUGCUUAGAAAGUUUGUAGAGGAUGACGCACACCACUGGGACAAAUUGUUGCCAGCCCUGCUGUUCGUGGUGCGGGAGGUUCCCCAGGCCUCUAUGGGCUUCUCACCCUUCGAACUGCUGUACGGGCAACAACCACAGGGAAGAAGACCUGGGAGGAGUCAUGGGCCUUGGGCUCAGUCCCCUACAUACUGCAACUCCAAGAUCAGCUCCAGAAGCUCAGAGCAUUUGCAAGAGAAAACCUCCUAUGGGCACAGCAAACCAAGGAGCAUCACUACAAUGGGGGGACGUGACUGCGCACUUUUGAACCGGGAGAUAGUGUCCUGUUACUACUACCCUCUAUAGAGUCCAAACUGCUGGCCAAGUGGCAAGGGCCAUUUGAGGUGGUUAGGCAGGUGGGGCCCGUAGACUAUGAAGUGCAGCUGCCAGGCAGAUGGAAAGAAGUUAACCUCCUAAAGGAAUGGAAGACCGAGGAGGGUUUACUGAUCACCUCCAGAACUGGAACUUGGCCCACUGGCAGGUGAACUCAUGGACCCCAUGCCCAUUGCGAUUGGAGUAGGACUGGGCAUGAGGCAAUGGGAGGAGUUGCAGCAGGUAGUUGGAGCCUUUGCCACCAGGGCAGACUGAGCUGGUGAGUCACCACAUCGCCACCCUCCACGACCAGAAGGUCCGGGAUAACCAUUGGCUGGUGCCGAAGAAGAUGUGGGGAGUAGGUCCAGAGAGAGCUCCAGAUGAUGCUGGACAUGGGGGUCAUGGAGGAAUCAUGCAGUAAUUAGCCCUAUCGUACUAGUCCCAAAAUCUGAUGGGACCCUACGAAUCUGCAUAGACUUCCAGAAGGUCAGUACAAUAUCCUGGUUCGAAGCAUACCCAAUACUCAGAGUGGAUGAACUACUGGAACUGCUGAGUAAUGCCACGUUUAUCUCAACAUUAGACCUUACUAAGGGGUACUGGCAAAUACCUCUGAUGCCCACACCCUGUGAGAAGACGGCCUUCCUUAUCCCAUUCGGGCUGUACCACUUCAUCACCAUGCCUUUUGGCCUGCACAGGGCCGCGGCCAUGUUCCAACGACUGAUGGACAGACUGUUACAACUUCACCACCGGUAUGCAGUGGCCUUUAUAGAUGACAUAGUGGUGUACAGCCCCACAUGGGAAGGAUAUCUUCAGCACUUUGCAGAGGUUUGCAAGCCCUAGUAGAAGCCGGACUCACCACCAACCCAGCCAAGUGCCACCUCGGGCAGCGAGAGGUAACAUAUCUGGGGUAUAUGGUGGACCAAGGGACUUUAUGUCCCCUGGUGGACAAGGUACAAGCGUUACGGGACUGCCCAACACCUACAACAAAAAGGCAGGUAUUCUACCACCACUUUUUGCUGAGCUUCACAACACUCAUUCGCAACAGUUUGUUGGACCUAACGAAGAGUUCACAGCCCUGCAACGUACAGUGGUCAGCCGAAUGCGAGGAGGCCUUCCAGGAAUUGGAGGACUGACUAAGUAGGGAGCCAGUCCUAUUUCACCCAAAUUUCGACAGGCCUUUCAUAUUAUAGACUGAUGUCUCAGAAGUAAGAUUGGGAAUGAUGUUGUCUGAGGAGGACAAGGGAGAAGAGCAUCCAGUCCUCUAUUUGAGUAGGAAGUUGUUCCCCCAAGAUAAGAAGUAUUCGACAAUAGAGAAGGAGGCCCUGGCAGUGAAGUGGGCGAUCGAAGCCCUAAGGUACUACUUGCUGGGGAACCUCUUCCAGUUGGUCCCUCACCACUUGCCACUUCGAUGGCUUAACAGUAUGAAGGAAACCAAUGCCAGAGUCGUGAGGUGGUACCUUUCACUUCAGCCACAUGACUUUCCAGUCACCCAGUGACCCGGUAAAGCCCACACAAACACAGACUUCUUUUCCCGCAUAACAGGGGAAGAUGAGGAAGAGGGGCCACCACCGGACACCCUCUUAAAGGGGGGGUUGUGAUGGGGCAUGCAUGCCCUGCACUGGGACUGUGGGGUUAACCCCUCACUGUGGGCUGAGGAACCCAUGCCCCCACAGACCUACUGGGCAUGCUCAAAGUGCAACACCACUAUAAGAGGGAGUAGCCUGGCUCAUUCUGGGUGGACCGCCAUAGGGGAAGGAGUUGUGCUGCUGGCCUCUCCUGAAGGGCUGUGGGCACUUCAGAAGGUGGAGGUCAGCCAGCUGACAGCACCCCUCAAUCCUCAGGUGCUGGACGCAACUGACAGAGAAGGCACCAAGGGAACUAGGAAACCAUGAGAUGCAGAGAUGCAGAAUUAUAUUUUCAGAAUAUUUUGAGUGCCAGGUGGAAAAGAAUCUGGCCUGAGGAAAGAUGUGCUCAUAGAUUUAUGAAGGAACUAAAGAAGUAUUCUCCUUUAAUGCAGGCUAGCUGGAAAAAAGAGAAUUUGAGUAACAGUUCACACCCUCCUAAUGUUGGUGUUAUAUGUAUAAGAAUGAAGGAGAAAAUGACUACUGAUGGGUAAA